rnacentral:rRNA from 1 species
AUUGAACGCUGGCGGCAGGCCUAACACAUGCAAGUCGAACGGUAACAGGAAGCAGCUUGCUGCUUUGCUGACGAGUGGCGGACGGGUGAGUAAUGUCUGGGAAACUGCCCGAUGGAGGGGGAUAACUACUGGAAACGGUAGCUAAUACCGCAUAACGUCGCAAGACCAAAGAGGGGGACCUUAGGGCCUCUUGCCAUCGGAUGUGCCCAGCUGGGAUUAGCUAGUAGGUGGGGUAACGGCUCACCUAGGCGACGAUCCCUAGCUGGUCGGAGAGGAUGACCGGCCACACUGGAACUGAGACACGGUCCAGACUCCUACGGGAGGCAGCAGUGGGGAAUAUUGCACAGUGGGCGCAAGCCUGAUGCAGCCAUGCCGCGUGUAUGAAGAAGGCCUUCGGGUUGUAAAGUACUUUCAGCGGGGAGGAAGGGAGUAAAGUUAAUACCUUUGCUCAUUGACGUUACCCGCAGAAGAAGCACCGGCUAACUCCGUG